rnacentral:rRNA from 1 species
UACGUAGGGUGCGAGCGUUAAUCGGAAUCACUGGGCGUAAAGGGCGCGUAGGUGGCGACCCAAGUCGAUGGUGAAAGCUCGCCGCUCAACGGCGAGUCGGCCACCGAUACUGGGUUGCUGGAGCACUGUAGAGGCAGAUGGAAUUCCGGGUGUAGCGGUGGAAUGCGUAGAGAGUCCGGAAGAACACCGGUGGCGAAGGCGGUCUGCUGGGCAGUUGCUGACACUGAGGCGCGACAGCGUGGG